GUAGGGAAUAUUGGGCAAUGGAGGCAACUCUGACCCAGCCAUGCCGCGUGCAGGAUGACGGCCCUCUGGGUUGUAAACUGCUUUUAUACGGGAAGAAAAAAUACUACGUGUAGUAUACUGACGGUACCGUAAGAAUAAGGAUCGGCUAACUCCGUGCCAGCAGCCGCGGUAAUACGGAGGAUCCAAGCGUCGUCCGGAUUUAUUGGGUUUAAAGGGUGCGUAGGCGGAUCUUUAAGUCAGUGGUGAAAGCCUGCAGCUUAACUGUAGAAGUGCCAUUGGAACUGAAGAUCUUGAAUGUGGUUAAAGUAGGCGGAAUGUAUCAUGUAGCGGUGAAAUGCUUAGAUAUGAUACAGAACACCGAUAGCGAAGGCAGCUUGCUGAACCAUUAUUGACGCUGAGGCACGAAAGCGUGGGGAGCGAACAGGAUUAGAAACCCGGGUAGUCC
rnacentral:rRNA from 1 species